GAUGAAGAACGCAGCGAAAUGCGAUAAGUAGUGUGAAUUGCAGAAUUCAGUGAAUCAUCGAAUCUUUGAACGCACAUUGCGCCCUUUGGUAUUCCUUAGGGCAUGCCUGUUCGAGCGUCAUUUAAACCUUCAAGCUCAGCUUGGUGAUGGGCGACUGUCCCCUCCCCUCGCGGGGGGGACUCGCCUCAAAAACAUUGGCGGCCGGUACAUUGGCUUCGAGCGCAGCAGAAACGCGGUCUCGAGCCCGGUGGAUCGGCUCCCAUAAGCCUAUUCUUUUAUUUUGACCUCGGAUCAGGUAGGGAUACCCGCUGAACUUAAGCAUAUCAAUAAGCGGAGGA
rnacentral:misc_RNA from 1 species